rnacentral:rRNA from 1 species
GACGAACGCUGGCGGCGUGCCUAAUACAUGCAAGUUGAGCGCUGAAGGUUGGUACUUGUACCGACUGGAUGAGCAGCGAACGGGUGAGUAACGCGUGGGGAAUCUGCCUUUGAGCGGGGGACAACAUUUGGAAACGAAUGCUAAUACCGCAUAAAAACUUUAAACACAAGUUUUAAGUUUGAAAGAUGCAAUUGCAUCACUCAAAGAUGAUCCCGCGUUGUAUUAGCUAGUUGGUGAGGUAAAGGCUCACCAAGGCGAAGAUACAUAGCCGACCUGAGAGGGUGAUCGGCCACAUUGGGACUGGGACACGGCCCAAACUCCUAAGGGAGGGAGCAGUAGGGGAUCUUCGGCAAUGGACGAAAGUCUGACCGAGCAACGCCGCGUGAGUGAAGAAGGUUGUCGGAUCGUAAAACUCUGUUGGUAGAGAAGAACGUUGGUGAGAGUGGAAAGCUCAUCAAGUGACGGUAACUACACAGAAAGGGACGGCUAACUACGUG